rnacentral:lncRNA from 1 species
GGAUUGUAUCUUGUGGUAUAGAAUUAUUUAUUAUUAUUUUUUUUGUGGGGUUUCGUUUUAAUUUUCUCCACCUUCUUCUUCUGUACACGGUUAAUUGCAUUAUUAGGUUGCAAAUGCAGCCUUUUUUCAUUUCUUUUUCUUGUUUUUUUGUUAUCUUCAUUUUUACUAUUUAUUAUAAAAUUUUCGAUUGUGACAUUGAUCUAAUAAUUAGUGUAAUUAAUUUAGGAGGUCAAUGUUGUUUUUCUGCUUUUAUCGUUUCCUCCCUUGUAUUUUGAUAUACACAAUACACUCC